UGUAACAGUUUGAGUUCCACAUCGGAGACACAUUUGUAUUGAAAGUAAAAGUAGUUUAUAAAUAUAAGACUUUAACGUGGAUUCAAACAAAGCAGUCAUGCAUUGCAUUGCUAUGUGGGACAUCUUAUGCUUGCAAUUAAAUAGUUUAAAUAUUCUCAUUUUAGCUGACUGCAAGCUUUACGUGGGGCUAUGCAGAACUAACAAUUAGUUCAAACAUUUAAACUCUAUCAAUUUUUAAGUGGUUCAUUGGUACGCUCAAAUUUUCCGAAUGCAAGGAGAAUUAUUGCGAACCGGUUCGUAAAAGAACCGUGAACCGGUACGUGCGAAUUAAUUCGCGGUUCGCAUGGGGUACAAGCGAAUUAUGUAACUAUGGUAGAAGGAGAUCGAGAGAAAAGAGGAGAGAGCUGAGAUUUGAAGCUUACCAAAAACCGAACAUCUCUUCUCUAUCGGGACUUUGUGAACAACCUUCGUGAAGAGUCAAAAAAACGUGCCCAGCGGGUGGUUCCAACCAAGCAUACCUUAGAUAGUUUCAAAGGUCACCUUCAUGUUGGCCUAGAACACGCUCGCGCGCUUUCUUUGAUACUUGAAGUUACAAGGUUUCCGAAAAAGACAUCUUCUUCUAAAGUUUUUGCUGAGACGAAGACUGAAAAAGUCGAGAAGCCCACUGUGACGAAUAUACAGAAAAACUGCAAAGGGGACUAAGAGGCCACAGAAAACUACUGAGGCUCCUGCUCCGUCUUCUUCGAAGGUUACCAAAAUCAAGGUGAAGAAGACUCCUCCUCCGGAAGUCAUUCACAUUGACUCCCUUUCACUACAAGUGCUCGAACCAACGGAGAGCAGGAAUUCAAACCUUGAAGUAAAAGGUCCAAAGGAUUGUUGAUGUGGUCAAGCGGCAAGCAAAAAUUAAUAGGUUUACUAUUACUGGGUGAUAUAGGUUAUAUCGUAUCGUAGUCCACAGAGAUUGGUAGAGAAAAAAUGUCGUUCAACUAUCUCGUAUUAUAAGUUUGGUUUUGGGUUACGAAAAGUAAAAUGAGGGGAAAGUAAAUAAAGCAAAUAAACAAUCUAUUGUAGCUUAAGAGAAUUCAUUCUGGAAUCGUAUUUCUAUUUAACUCGUCAAAUACUUAAAUCUGAAGAUCUUAUCGUAACACACUCACAAUACGCAUCAAAAUCACUAAGCAUCGCUCGAGAUAUACCACAUCAGUGCUCAUUUCUGCAACACUGACGAGAGUUCAAUUAUAUAGCUCUUUCGGCGAUUUCCCAACCGAUCGAACAACACAGAGGAAUUAAACUCCGAUACCCAUUAUGAUUAUUAGCCCUAAAUCUAUGUCUAGAGUUUAGAAAUUAAUAGAUAUCAUCCUUAAUCAAGAUCUAUGAUGUCUAUUUCUACAACAACAAAAAUCCAAUGUAUAUACAAUCCCGAGAUCAACAAAUGUACAUACAAGAGAGGAAAAAUAUACAUACAAACUCCACCAUUGGAAUGGGUCACACGGAAGAAGAAGAGCAAAUGGAAAUUUAUCAUGUUAUCGGCACAACCAGAGACCACCCGAGCUCUAUCGACAUGAUGAGCCACCCAACAGUGUUGCUUGAACCUCUAAACUAAAAAGAAUGGAUCAGAGCUCAACUUUGUCAAAUAAGAGAUGAUAAAAAACCUAAAAAAUAUAUUCUAAACUAUUUAUAGAAAAAUUGAAAUCGCAGAGCGCGCGAUGCACCCUCUCACUUAUGUACCAAACCGCCCUAGAGCGCGCGAUGCGCCCUUAGGGCGCGUGACGUGCCCUCGAGACUGCCAAAAUUUAUUCCUUUACUCCUAGCCCGCGCGAUGCACCCUCUGUGUGUGUGAUGCUCCCUAUACUAGAACUUUAUUCCUUCCAAAAACACGCGUUUGAAGUCGUGUCUUCGACACUUUAUUGCUCAUGCUCCAAAUAUGCAACAAUACCUACAAAAAUACAUUAAAACUAUCAAACGGUACAUAUUUAUAUGAAAACGUAACAAAAUACAAAGUAUACAAAAUUACACGAAAAUGGGGAAUUAUUCAAACGGUGUUAACAAAAAGUAUCGAUAAGUGCCACUAUUUACAUACACAAAAUAACUAUAUUUUGGCACUUAUCAAGGAUGCAACAGAAGUUUUGAAGGAACCUCUUGUCGAACAACCUUCAACCAACCUCAUCCCCAAAGAGAUCUGAUCAAGGGUCCAUGUCUGAGAUCAACAAACUUGUCGAAGACCCUCAACCCCAAGACACUGAAAAUAAAAUUGUUGAUAACUCUUCUGAGGAAGGUUCUCUGAAGGCUGACGAACCGAAGAAUGAUGAACCUGUUCACGAAGAAGAGGGUGAAGAGGAAGAAGGGGACGACACCAGCCUUUUGAAUUACCAUGAGGACAUCACAAUGGAUGACCUCGAAUAUGAACAACAAGGUGAUGAAAAUGAAGGGAAGAAAGACUCUGCUCCAUAACCAACGUCAGAUCCCGUCAAAACUGAUAAUGCCCCUGAGGGUAAAUCAACUUCGAGUGGCACCUUUUCCAAAUUGUCUCCCACGGAAUUGGAGAACCUAAAUCAAAAUAUUCCUCUUAAAUAUUUGAAGGUGAUCAUCAGCGAUAGGGAGAGUUCUUCUAAAAAAAAGUGCUAGUAUUUCGACUGU